AUGAAGCGUGGGAAUGUGUUUUCUGACACGGAUUACUUUGUGUUUGUGGGUGUCCAGUGUGAAGUACACCUGGUGGAGUCUGGCAGAGGCUUGGUGAAGCCUGGAGGGUCUCUGAGACUCUCUUGCAUGGCUUCUGGAUUCACCUUCAGUAGCUAUGCAAUGGACUGGGUCCGCCAGGCUCCCGUGAAGGGGCUGGAGUGGGUCUCAGCAAUUAGUGAUAAUGGUGGUAGCACAGACUACACCAACUCUGUGAAGGGCCGAUUCACCAUCUCCAGAGACAAUGGCAAGAGCACUCUCUACAUGCAAAUGAACAACCUGAGAUCUGAGGACACGGCUGUGUACUACUGUGUAAAAGAAACAGUGAGUGGAAGUCAGUGUGAGCCCAGACAUAAACCUCCCUGUGGGAGACAGGAGGGCUGA